UACGUAGGGUGCAAGCGUUGUCCGGAAUUAUUGGGCGUAAAGAGCGUGUAGGCGGUCCGGUAAGUCAGCUGUGAAAGUCAAGGGCUCAACCCUUGAAUGCCGGUUGAUACUGUCGGGCUAGAGUCCGGAAGAGGCGAGUGGAAUUCCCGGUGUAGCGGUGAAAUGCGCAGAUAUCGGGAAGAACACCCGUGGCGAAGGCGGCUCUCUGGGACGGUACUGACGCUGAGACGCGAAAGCGUGGGGAGCGAACAGG
rnacentral:rRNA from 1 species